UUCAGAGGAGGGUGGGUUAAGAAAAAGAAGCCGCUUUUAUUUUGAAGGAUAUGUUUCUCCAUUUCCGGUGAGCACCGGGACAGCAACCACAGCAAAAAUGAGAUCCAGUGCGACUCCCGUGACUUCCUCAGGAGAUGAGAAAAUGUUUCAAAAGAAUGGACGCCCCGUUAACCUGCCGAAACACUCCUACUGGCUGGAUUUGUGGGUGUUCCUGGUUUUUGACAUCGCUUUAUUCCUUUUCGUAUAUUUCAUCGUCCCGUAAGGAGGAUCAUCCCUUGGGCUGACUGCUAAGGACGUGGAGUGCUGCUCAUACCCUGCUGUGAGAAGGCUAACCCAGCUUUGACUGAAUUCAACCAUGCAGCAGCUUUCCACAGCUCAGUUGAAAGAUGCUCACGGGUUACGGACAUGGCCCCCUGACUUCACAUCGGCAGAAGUUGUACACUAACUAUUCAGAUGGAUUCCUCAUGAAGUCAGGAAGAAGUAUUUGUGUUACUGAAAACUUAAAAUGGCUUGACUGACUUGACUCAGAAAACAUGUCUGCAGAUAAUUUAAGAUGCUUCUGUUUUCACUGUAAAUGUUAUAUCCAUUGUAUCUGGGAAGAACAGAUGAGCUUCAGGAAAUGUGUAGUUUGUCAUAGUAAGCCAGAUGUUAAACUGGUGUCAGGACCAAUGACGAUACAAGCAGAGGAACGUAGUUAAAACACCGUAAGAAAAAAUUUGCUGAUGUGGAGGAACUCCAAGCAUUUACACCUGGACAAUUCAUAAUAAACUGUUCUUCCUGCCAGCUAAAUGAAGCCCUUUUAUUUUGACUCAUCAGGUCCAGUCAUACAGGCAUUCCAUCCCAGGCAACUGGUUUUUAUGCAAAGUUUUCUACUGACCUAUUAAACACCAGUCAACCAAAGUUUGGACACUCCUUCUGAUUCAAUGGUUUGUCUUUAUACAGUGGCUUGUAAAUUCAUACCCCUUUACUCUGAGUGCAACCAAUUACCUUGAGAAGUUGCCUGAUGAUUGCUAAUGACUACAUAGAGUCUGCCUUUGUGUAAUCUAAUCUGAGUACAAAUACAGCUGCUCUGUGAUGGCCUCAGAGGUUGACUCAGGGAGGCUGAAUACUUUUGCACACCGCUCUUCAGUUUUUUAUUUGUAACAAACAAAAAAAAUUAUUCAUGUAUAAUUUUCAUUCCACUUCACAUUUGUAUACCACUUUGUGUUUGGCUUUCACACAAAAUUCCAAAAAAUAUAUUUAUAUAAACAUGUUCAGUUUAUGGUUGUUAUGUGACAAUAUAUGGAACAGUUCAAGGGGUAUGAAUACUUUUACUAGCCACUGUAUCUAUUCCUACCUUCAGGAACUUCUUCAAGGCUGUUGGAAAACCAUUUCAGGUGACUACCUCAUGAAGCUCUGUGAGAGAACAAGACCGUGGAAAGCAGUAAUCACAUUAAAGGGGGCCUUUUUUUGAUAAUAUAAAAUGUUUUAUUUCACAAUUAUGUUUGCUACAUAAUUCUAUAUACUUUUGCUACAUGGUUUUGAUGUCUUCGCUACACAUCAGCAUUGUAGAAAGUGGAAAAAAAGAAGGAAAACCAGUGAAUGACAAAGAUGUCCAAACUUUCAACUAGUAGUAUUUUACAUAAAUGAUACAACAUAUUAGGUACAAUAAUUUAUAACACUUAUUCACUGCUAUUUUAAAUAAAUACUUACAAAAUUU